rnacentral:rRNA from 1 species
AUUGAACGCUGGCGGCAUGCCUUACACAUGCAAGUCGAACGGUAACGGGCCUUCGGGUGCCGACGAGUGGCGAACGGGUGAGUAAUGCAUCGGAACGUACCUUUCAGUGGGGGAUAACGUAGCGAAAGUUACGCUAAUACCGCAUAUUCUGUGAGCAGGAAAGCAGGGGAUCGCAAGACCUUGCGCUGAUUGAGCGGCCGAUGUCAGAUUAACUAGUUGGUGAGGUAAAGGCUCACCAAGGCGACGAUCUGUAGCGGGUCUGAGAGGAUGAUCCGCCACACUGGAACUGAGACACGGUCCAGACUCCUACGGGAGGCAGCAGUGGGGAAUUUUGGACAAUGGGGGCAACCCUGAUCCAGCCAUGCCGCGUGAGUGAAGAAGGCCUCGGUGUAAGAUCUUCGUCCGGACGAAAUACGCAUGGCGUAAUACCCUACGUGCGGAGUGACGGUACCGGCCGA